GCACAUAUCUUUAAAGAAAAAAGAAUGAUUGGUUUUCAAGGUGCAGGAGAGCUUAUUUAUCUAGGAAUUAGAAAACAAUGUUAGCUCUCCCACAGUAGUCUUUAAUAGCUCUGCAUUCCAGCCUGAGUACAGAUGGAGCUUUGAUAUUAUCGCCGUUUUGCAGUGACUGUGUGCAGUAUAUCCUGCUGCUAAUCCUAUGGUGGAAAUCAGCGCCUCUUAUCACCUGGUGCCAAGACACAACCAUUUGCCUGAACUUGACACAACUGAUUUCAGCAACAGGAUAUGGUGUCGUGGGCUGGAUUUGGACAUAUCCUACCUUGUGCUGUGACACAAACCCUGUUGGGCUGGAGACUUCACCAGUGCAGACUGGAAAGCUGUCCCUACCCCAAAGAGGUGUCAGACUCCCAAGCCUUUUAAAAACAAACUUCAGAUCCAUCACAUGGAAGUGAUCUCAUCGCAUUACAGAUUCGCCUUCCUGGGAAACUAAACUUCUGGUGUAAUCAUGGGAAAGUCUCACCUUCCCUUUUUUAGUUUCCUUUAACCAAGUUUCUAUUGAAAUCGGCUUGGCAGGCUAACAACUCAGAAGCUAAGAGACAAAAGACAACUCUUCAUUACUAUUAGGAUUUGUUUUAAUCUUAUGAUUUGCUUACCAAUCUCAUGAUUCUGGGGAGAUGGCAAGUUGAGUUUUGAAUACUUAAUGACAUAUAUCUAAAUCUAUAGAGAAGGUAGGUCCCCUCAUAAUAUGUUUUACCAACACAGUAGUCUUUCUGUCCCACUGCCAACAGAAAAAGAAGCCCCCUAAUUAAUUAUUGCUCCAUCUUUUGUAGUCUUCUUUGAGCUGCAACAGUUUCUGUUCACUCAUACUCUCAUUCUAACUCUUACAAAUCCUUUGCACAACUGGAAACCCGGCUUAGCAAAUCCAAUCUCGCCAUAGUCAAGCGAGGAAGGACUUGGCUCCUCUUCAAAGGGAGCUUUUAUCAAGUGUUUAGUGUGAUGUGACAAAGCAGGGAAGUGUGCCAUGGAUGUGAUGCUUCCAAAUUCCCCCCUUCUACCGUGAUUAAACUUAAGAGCAAUUACCCAGGUUGAUGAACCUGCCAAUGUGCAUCUUGUUUACAGCUCUGCUGAGUUUUUAACAUGUUUUCCUGUUUUGGACUAGGACAGCACGCAUCCACUUUAUGCCCUGGAUAAAAUCCCAUUUAAAACAUAGAGUUUCUAAUGUUUUGCCACUAGAACCAUGGGAAGAAGAAAGCCUUUCCUGGGACGCCUUGGGACAUCGCUGCUCAUGUGCAGUCAUGUUUGGGCCCCAGCAGACCUGCGAGGUCUUGCUGACAGAGGAGGAAAGCUUGGAUGGGGCCAGGAGAAAUGAAAAAGAUUUAUCCUGGGACUAUUUUAUUGUGCUUGGAACAGGCAUGCACCGUUAGGUGUGAGCGGGCUCUAGAUGCUGCUGUAAAUCCCCGAUGAAAGUUUCAUGGCCUUUGCUGUUUCAUUUUGCCCUGUUUUAUUUUGUGUGUUUCCCUCUCAUCCCUGGAUUCCGCUUUAUUCCUAAUUUUGAUAAAUUUAGAACAUCGGAUCAAAGUCUUAUUUGAAAAACAACAAAAACAAAACCCAACAGAUUUUGGCAAUAAAUACUUUGCAAAACAUACUUAUUUUACCAAUUUCCCAGUUGCCCAAAGCGGUCACUUUAAAAAUGACUGCAUCUGACUCAUUUUACUUGAAAAAAAUCUUCUUUCAUUUUUCUCUCUUUUUUUCUUUUUUUCUUCACAAGAACCAGGACAAUUUUCAGAGGAACUUUACCAGGAGGAAUGCACACCAGCACCCACCAGCACCCUGUGAAAUUUCCAUGUUUGGUUUUGAAACUGUCAGGUUAUGUGGAGAAAAACAAAUAUGUCGUGAAUUUUCCAGUUCAGUAACUUUGACAAAUCAAGAUUAUGACAUGGCACUGGACCGUUCUUUGCCAAGGACUCACUGGUUGCCUGUGAAGCCAUUUGUGGACAGUGGUGGGACACCAGGCCCAGCUCAUGGUUGAAAAUCACUCUGUGCCAGGACUCCAAAUGAGGUACAGCGCUGCAGCCAUGCUUGCUCCCAGAACUGACACAGUUCACAUAUGGCACGGUCCUGGAUGCAAAAGCACCCUCUGCGCACUGAGGAGGGCUUUUCAGUGGGCCCGUGCUGAGGCAGCACCGGGUCAGCUCUUGGCUGCUUUGCCCACCUUGCAUGCAGAGCAGAAUGUUGGCUUAGCCUGGGUGGGAUCUACCUUUGAGCACUUGGAAGUGGGAAGUGCCUGAUUGCAGUCUGGGACACACUGCCAGGAAGCAGCGUUGGCCUUUGGCCAGCCCAAAACAGGGAGGUGGCAAAGCUGCCUUUGAUGCCUCAACUCCUAUGGAGUGGUAGCUCCUGGAGGGGUGGCCCUGCAGGCAGAGCCAUGGUGAGGCUCUCUAACAAGCUGUUCCCGUUCCUGCUCGGUGUGGAUGGGGCAGCCCAUCGGCUCUCCGCUGUGCUGGAAUAUCAGCCAGCGCUGGUGCCUUGGCUCUGUUGUUUCAGGCCGCAAUGGGUAAUUUUUAAUCCCUCUAUUCAGAGUGUUUCAAGGAACAGGAGGAGAAACAUACGGCAUAUGCUCACCUCGGCUGCCAGGAGGAGUGGGGGAGUGUGUCCCAGCAGCUGCUGGGGUAAUGCUUGUCCUUCUGUCCACGACUGCAUCCCAAAGAUGUGCUCAGAGUGCUUGGGCAUCACCCCCGUAAGCAGGCGGGCUCCACCAACUGAGCAUGGCUUGGGGGGCAAAGUCCCUUCCUCCCCUCAGCAACCCCAUGGGGUCAGGGCCUGUGGCAAGUGCAGUGUAGAGACUGGAGGAGGGACGUUUUCCUCUCCUGUGUCUCUCUCAAGCAGACCAGCUCCACAGCGGUACUGGGGCACUUCAAAGGUACAGGUUAUCCCACAACAGUCACACUGCUGCAGAGGCUUUUGGGAUACAGGUGCCUUCAGUGUCUGGAAAUUGGUUGGGUUAAGGAUUCAUGUUUGACCACAGAGGGUCUAUGGUGAGAUCUGGGCUGAAUGUAGCUGUGGCCUCAAAGCACAUAAGAUAUCUGCAGCAGUAGUGAGUGGGGGCAGGAUGCAGUGCUCAGCCACUAGAGACCUGGAUCCUGUAUCACCCAAUGUCUUCCCUUGCCAUCACAUCUCCAGCACAUCACUCCCUGAUGUGCUGUCAUUGCUCGCUGUCCUGGCCAUCAUCCUGACCCUACUUGCAGUAAAUAAGAGCAGUGUUGGUGGCACUGGUGGACCUAA